rnacentral:rRNA from 1 species
GACGAACGCUGGCGGCGUGCUUAACACAUGCAAGUCGAACGGAAAGGCCCUGCUUUUGUGGGUUGCUCGAGUGGCGAACGGGUGAGUAACACGUGAGUAACCUGCCCUUGACUUUGGGAUAACUUCAGGAAACUGGGGCUAAUACCGGAUAGGAGCUCCUGCUGCAUGGUGGGGGUUGGAAAGUUUCGGCGGUUGGGGAUGGACUCGCGGCUUAUCAGCUUGUUGGUGGGGUAGUGGCUUACCAAGGCUUUGACGGGUAGCCGGCCUGAGAGGGUGACCGGCCACAUUGGGACUGAGAUACGGCCCAGAAUCCUACGGGAGGCAGCAGUGGGGAAUAUUGCACAAUGGGCGGAAGCCUGAUGCAGCAACGCCGCGUGCGGGAUGACGGCCUUCGGGUUGUAAACCGCUUUCGCCGGUGACGAAGCGUGAGUGACGGUAAUGGGUAAAGAAGCAACGGCUAACUACGUG